GCCGCUCCCGCCUGUAUAAGAGGAGUUGGCCCUACCGAACCCUGCGUGGGGGGAAGGAGAGGUUCCAUCUCACCGCGGUUUGGAGUGCAGCACUUACUUUCAAAACUACGGUGACUCUACGGAGUGUCGCUGUUCAGUUCUCACAGGACAGAUCAGAAACAAUGAUUAUGAUGGAAGCUAUUUCCCUUCAAGGAAUGCAGACUACUGAGGCUGAGUCCUUUCUUGUGGUGGGAGAGCAGCAGAUUCAGAAAGAUCCUACAUUCCUCUGAAAUUGAGCAUUUACUUGAGUUACAGCAUGGAACUGAAGGAUUUGGUUAUUGAGGACCGAGGCUUUUCAGUGUUUGUUCAUUUCCAUGCCAAGUCAUUGGAAACCAGCAUAUGGUUUAGCUUCAGAGCUUCAAACUUCUUUAUUUUUUCCCAAAUUGAAUAUCUACCUGCAGGUCAUAUUUUCUCUCUUUAACAUUCAAGCAGUUCUGUCAUAUCUUAGUUCUUUUACUGCAAAAAAAGAUGAAAAGUGCAUAUGCUUCUGUUUUUUUUGUUUUGUUUUGUUUUGUUUUUUAAUUUUUACAGAAUUUCUUCUUGAAUAUUUCUAUAGAGUGCCCAACUGAGGUAAUUUAACAUACUAUUGAACAGCUCUCAUGGAAGAAAAGUAGCUGUAUUCCACAGUUCCUCUGAAUCAAGAGAAGUGGUUCUUCUGUCAUGUAUGGUCCACUUGGUACAGGUUUGUGUUAAAUUUGUAAAGCACACAGCUAGGAAAGCCCAUGUACCAAGGAUGUGUGGUGAGCUAAGUUAGCUGUGUAAGAAAAAGUCCACUUAAGACGUAAACAUGAGAUAAGCCAAGGUGCUUAUUAAUCAAUUUAACUUUGUUCAUCCCUCGGCAUCAGAAUAGUUGAGCUCUUCAAACUCAGAGGAUUUCACUCUGUUUAACCACAGUUAUCAUGUGCUACAUGGCCAGAGAGGCAGUCACAUUAAGAAAAUGUCCCGUUGCAUAGCCUACAGUAGCCCUACCCAAUGCAGCAGGUCUCCAGUGUUCUUCAUAAAAAAUGGCUUUGGACAGUUUAUAACCAUUCUUAGAACACCUCUGAAAUAUCACUAUCGACAAAAUUCUUGACUUUUAAUUGUUUGAAACGUCUGUCUUGAGGCGAUCUUUCUAAAAAUGAGUUUGACUUUUCAAUGCAAGAAACAUUUUUAUGGUCUUAAAUAAAGCAAAAUAAAUAAGUCCUACAGCAUUGUCAGACAUGCUGUGUUCCACUUUCUGAACCCUGAAGUAAUGGCUCUGCAAAAGUAUAUGCAGAAGUCUACUAUUGACUGCAAAGACAUUCGGUACCAAAUGGCUGUGAAUUAAAGCAUCAUUUUCACUCUCAUACCAUCAUCAAAAUAAUACUAUAUUUGAACCUCUGAUUUGAUUGAUACACCUCAGCAGGAGGGCACUUAGACUUUUAUGUCAUAAAGUGAAAAUGAAGUACUUUAUGUCACUGAACACAGCAGCCUGGCAUGCAGUAGUUAAAAUUCAAUGAAGUUCCAAUCAAUCCUGCAGUUACUAAAUACCUAGAGUUUUGCAUUUCUUGCUCUUGAGAGGGUUUCCAGGAAAAUGUUGUAACGUUAAAAUGGUGACUAGUCAGUAUUUGUACUUUUAAGGCUCUGACGUUUCCCAUCUUGCAAUGCCCGCUAAAUAUAGGCAAGCAGCUGUACGAACAGCAGCUUGGAAUACAGGAUAUCCAACUCGCCCAAUCUGCAGGCUGAAAGCUGUAUUGUACAACCACAGUUACCACAGUGUUCCGGCAGAUAUAUUUUGUGCUUUGUUCAGGGCUCCGGUUUUAAAAAGUGUUUCCUAAAAAUUCUUUUACUAACAUCAUCUUUAUCUAAAAUGCAGUGAAUUCUUUCACUGAAAUUGUACUUGAAUUCUUCAGGUUUUGGGAAGGAAAUGUCGAUUAAGUGAGAAAAUAUUUAAUUAACAUAUCACCCUCUCAGUACUGGGGUAAGUCAUUGCUUGUUUUUUGGUGUGUGUGUGUGUGUGUUUUAAUGAAAAAAAAAAAAAAAAGGUUCUUUCAACUUUUUAUCUGAAGUGCCCAUCUUGACAAGUUCUUAACUUCAGUAUAUUGUGCCUCAUUAGUACUUUAAAACCUGCUGAAGCUAAACUGCAUCUUACUUGCCUAUUAGUUCAACCUUAGGCCCAUCAGUAGAGCAUUACCCAAUGUCUUGGGAACAAUUAAGGCAUGCCUUCCCUACCAAACAGUUUUUAAGUGGACAAAACAUAUUUAACAGUAGAAUUUGUGGCGCACAGAAUGGAAAUGCAAUGAAAACUACUGGGAAUAUGCAUUAAUCCUUCUGCUGAACAAGUUCCUAAUAACUCACUUGAAACUCCUGGGGAUAUAGUAUCAAGUAUGUACUCUCUAAAUGCUACUAAUGAAACAUUUACAGUCCACAGUGAUAAAAGGAAAAUGGAAGAGUCUGUGGCCAGUUAAAGGGCUACUUGAACGACAUGCAGAAUGCAAACUUCAGAUGUACAUGAUUAUUGAUCUUUUCAGCAAAAAGGCUUUAUGAAUAAUAUUCAUACCAUACCAUUAGAAGCUAAAGUAGACUGGGAAUUAAACAUCAGCAGGAGAGCAAUUGAUGGAUUUAGACAGGUCAGACAAUGUCAUUCUAAAAGCAGCUAAUCAAUAUGGACAAAUGUGUCAGAAAGGUGAUUUGAAAAAUGACUUUAUAAUAAGGGAGGGAAAAAAAAGCCAUGUUCUUUAGGUCCCCAGUUUUUCCUUCCUCAGAAUUAUAUACUUAUCAAAGCAAGGCUGCUAACAGUUUCACAUUUCCACAAGCAGCAAAAAGAAAUUAUGCUACAAAACUCAAGGGCAAAGCAAUGGUUUUCCCCCCACUGAAAACAAGUAAAUAGGCUGACAACUGGUGAAUUGUGCCCCACGUAGCUACUGUGGUGUCCCUGCUGUCCAAUUUCACAGCUGGGCCAUGCGUUAUCCCACCUCGUUUUGAAUCCUCUUUGAAGAAGCACGGGAAUCUGUGUAGCAUUUUGUUGAAAAGGGUUGCUCUGGCACUCCUGAGGAGGCAAAACCUUUCUGAGCUGGAUUCUUUUUGCAACAAAAGAGCUAUGAUGGCUUUAACUUGAUGGCUUAGGUAGCUUUCCAGCUGCUUUGUUCUCAUUCAAGUGCUGCAAAGUGGUCAGAGAGAUGGCACUUGAUUUCCAGCUGGACUUCUUCAGGAGUCGACUGCCAGCCAUUGGAUAUUGUUACGCUUUUGUCUGUCAGAUUAAAAAGUGCGCUACAUUAAAGCAUGAUGUUAUUUGCUCUUGCAGUUCACCGUAACCUACCAGCUGCCUGAACAGCACACUCUUAGCAGAGCCUGCUGAAUUCUCGACUCACUCACCUGAACUUCUCGCUGGCAUCUAUUCUUCCCAACCACGAAGAAAACCCAGUGGCUAAUGCCUAGGGCUCCAGGUUAACGGCCUACCAUGACAUGACGCCUGGGCAAACUGAAAUCACUUUGGCCAUCCUGAAUGUACUGUAUCACAUCUGAGAUGUUUUUCAUCGUGUUCCUUGAAGAAGAAAUACUAACUUGGGUAUCAUCAGAAAUGUCUUGGCAAAGUUUUUUAUUGCCCUUUGAGAACAUUCUCAUAUCAUGGCUGUGGAUGAAUGUGGUCAGGAUGAAUGAGGUCCCUUCUUGGACUGCAGAAGGGAGGACUCCUGGGGAACGUUGUCCACUGCCACCCUCUGGGACUUCCAGGGAGGAAUGAAUAGAGUCGUUGUAUUGCUGUACCAUCUGGAAGCAAUUGGAACAGGGUAAAUAAUGAGGAACAAUGAAACUGGCUUCAAUAGGCCUUGGUUUGUAUAGGUACUAGGUCAGUAGAUGGUGAAUACAUUUCAGUGUAAAAACUAACACACAGCCAAGGAGUACAGUUGAAGAUUGUUUACUAACUCAAACAUUUAUUUAGCACAGUGAUGAGGAAAAAAUUUUGCGAGUUGCAGUGGGGCAGUAAAGAAAGCUCAGCCAAGAAUUAAUGUAUGUGAAUGUUGAUGCCAUUGUAUUAAUAUGAAUGGGGAUUUGUUCAAAGCUGUCACACUCUUCUCUUAUGCCACCAAGUACAUGUUUAUGACUGAACUGCAUUCCUUUUUUGAGGGUGACUUAAUGAUAAAUGAAUUUUAAUACCAGGUAUUAAUAAUAUGUGCUAUGUAUAUGGGGUUUUUAUUGAUUUCUGGGCUAAAAUCUGGUAGAAUGAUCCUAGUUUUGCCUGAGUCAUUAAUAGUUCUGCUGCAAAUUUCUGAGGAAAUCAGAUUUUUCUGUGGAGAUCACACCAGUCAUGGGUGUCCAAUGUUUUGUUUGCCUGGGCCACACUGAGGGAAGAUAAAUUGUCUUGGGCUGCAUAUACAUAGAUAACUCCAAAAGUAAUGCAUACUAUUUAUUUUCAAGGAAAUGGAAACAGAUACAAAGAGCACAAUAACACUGUUUGAUUGAGCAAAUUCUCAGCUACAGAAUGCUAUUUUUCAACAUAGUCACCAUCACCAUCUAUGCACUUUUGACAGAGAUGAACAAGAGCCUGCAUGCUGUGCUUGUAAAAAUCUGUACCAGCACAGGUGACCCACUGUUUCUGUUGUCACACUGCUGAAAUGCACCACCCAUCACCUCUCUGUGCUCCCAUCCGCUGUUUGGUCUCUACAAACGUGCAGCAAGCAUCAGUGAAUGUCAGUGGGUGCCAUUUUUUUCUGUAUGGAGGAAUUCAGUGACACACCUUUGUUUCAUAUGCACUUUCAUGUCAGAUGCCAAUUUGUCGCACAGUCCUGCUGCCACCUGUCACAGGACAACAAAAUGUAAUGAAAUAUUUGUGGCAGGGUUUAACCAUAUGAUCAACAUCAGCCUCUGAUACUGUGGGCCAACAUAAUAAAACAGCAGGCAUUAUUUUUGGAGCAGCUCUCAUUAAGUAUAUAAUAUAUUUAAUGUAUAUAAAGAAACAAAGCUUACUUUAG